rnacentral:misc_RNA from 1 species
GAUUUGGAGCGGAGGAAGAUGAGAGACAUGCGAGGAAUUACUACUGACUUCGCCAUUUUUGGCGACUUGCAGUGACAGUAUCGUUCCUCUUUCUUGGUAAAAACCUUCAACCCACACCACUAAAACAUACUACUUCUCGAGGUAUAAUAUGUAACGGGAUCUUCAAACUUUAAAAAUAAAAAAUUUUCGUGAUUAUGUUGUGUUGAUUGAUUAAGAA